GUCCCCAUCGUCUAGUCCGGUCCAGGACAGCGGCUUUUCACGCCGUCAACGCGGGUUCGAAUCCCGCUGGGGACGCCA
rnacentral:tRNA from 1 species